GAUGAACGCUGGCGGCGUGCCUAAUACAUGCAAGUCGAGCGAACAGACGAGGAGCUUACUCCUCUGACGUUAGCGGCGGCCGGGUGAGUAACACGUGGAUAACCUACCUAUAAGACUGGGAUAACUUCGGGAAACCGGAGCUAAUACCGGAUAACAUGUUGAACCGCAUGGUUCAACAGUGAAAGACGGUCUUGCUGUCACUUAUAGAUGGAUCCGCGUCGCAUUAGCUAGUUGGUAAGGUAACGGCUUACCAAGGCAGCGAUGCGUAGCCGACCUGAGAGGGUGAUCGGCCACACUGGAACUGAGACACGGUCCAGACUCCUACGGGAGGCAGCAGUAGGGAAUCUUCCGCAAUGGGCGAAAGCCUGACGGAGCAACGCCGCGUGAGUGAAGAAGGUCUUCGGAUCGUAAAACUCUGUUAUUAGGGAAGAACAAAUGUGUAAGUAACUAUGCACGUCUUGACGGUACCUAAUCAGAAAGCCACGGCUAACUACGUG
rnacentral:rRNA from 1 species